rnacentral:lncRNA from 1 species
GUCGGUAAAGGCUGUUAGCUACAGAAAUAAGGGCAUCAACGAUGGAAAUUUUUCGUCUUUGAAGCCGCUGUUUUUUGUAGUGAGAGAAGUUGAAGAAUGCAUUUCGUGAACUUCAGUCGGUGGUUCCAUACUCGUCCAAAAUGGACAGAGCAUCGUUGCUAUUAGCUGCUGUAUUUUAUUAAAGAACUGAAAGGCAAAAUGGAAGAAUUGGAGUACAAGAGAAUGAAGAUGGAACAACUAGAUAUUGAAAUGAAAAUUGUUGGCGAAGAUGGUAUAAUCGGGGUUGUUGAGUCGAAG